rnacentral:rRNA from 1 species
UACGUAGGGCGCAAGCGUUGUCCGGAAUUAUUGGGCGUAAAGAGCUCGUAGGCGGCUUGUCACGUCGGUUGUGAAAACCCGUGGCUCAACCAUGUGGUCUGCAGUCGAUACGGGCAGGCUAGAAUUCGGUAGGGGAGACUGGAAUUCCUGGUGUAGCGGUGAAAUGCGCAGAUAUCAGGAGGAACACCGGUGGCGAAGGCGGGUCUCUGGGCCGAUAUUGACGCUGAGGAGCGAAAGCGUGGGGAGCGAACAGG